CCUACGGGGCGCAGCAGUCGCGAAAACUUCGCAAUGCGGGGCAACCCCGACAGAGGGAAUCCCAAGUGCCAGCACAUUUGUGUUGGCUGUUCUCCUGUCUAAAAAACAGGAGGAGUAAGGGGCGGGUAAGACGGGUGCCAGCCGCCGCGGUAAUACCCGCGCCCCUAGUGGUGGUCGAUAUUAUUGAGCCUAAAACGUCCGUAGCCGGUUUUUUAAAUCCUUGGGUAAAUCGGGCAGCUCAACUGUCGGAAGUCCGGGGAGACUGGGAGACUUGGGACCGGGAGAGGUCAGAGGUACUUCUGGGGUAGGGGUAAAAUCCUGUAAUCCUGGAAGGACCACCGGUGGCGAAGGCGUCCGACUAGAACGGAUCCGACGGUGAGGGACGAAGCCCUGGGGCGCAAACGGGAUUAGAUACCCCGGUAGUCCAGGGUGUAAACGAUGCGGGCUUGGUGUUGGGGGUCCUUAGUGGGCGCCCAGUGCCGGAGAGAAGUUGUUAAGCUUGCUGCUUGGGGAGUACGGUCGCAAGGAUGAAACUUAAAGGAAUUGGCGGGGGAGCACCGCAAGGGGAGGAGGGUGCGGUUCAAUUGGAUUCAACGCCGGAAAACUCACC
rnacentral:rRNA from 1 species